rnacentral:rRNA from 1 species
GAGUUCGGUAGGGGAGAUCGGAAUUCCUGGUGUAGCGGUGAAAUGCGCAGAUAUCAGGAGGAACACCGGUGGCGAAGGCGGAUCUCUGGGCCGAUACUGACGCUGAGGAGCGAAAGCGUGGGGAGCGAACAGGAUUAGAUACCCUGGUAGUCCACGCCGUAAACGGUGGGCACUAGGUGUGGGCAACAUUCCACGUUGUCCGUGCCGCAGCUAACGCAUUAAGUGCCCCGCCUGGGGAGUACGGCCGCAAGGCUAAAACUCAAAGGAAUUG